CGCCACUGGAACUACAACUAAUUUAUCAUCGAUGUCAUCACUCAGGCAAAUCGUGAUCAAAUUCAAAUUGAAGGAUCAGUAUUAAGGCCUUAAAUUGUCUAGAAUGGUCUGGAGUGGUCAGUUAUUUUUUCUAAUCAUCGUAUCUGGCUUCUAUACAAUGCAAUGUUGUUCAAGGAUAAAAGAGGAGUUUUAUGUUGCGAUUAAAGGAAACCAUCGUAUUUAAAACUUCAGUUACUGACUAGAUUUAGAAAAUUGUUUCAUACAUUAAAAAAUAUUUCUUGAAUCAA